CGCACUAAGGGUUUAUUUAUCAUCGUAUAUACUCGAGACGAAACUCAACGAAAUGGAUCGAAAGAUUGUGUUUGCACUGUUCUUGGUGUUUCUCCACAUAUCUACGGUUUCUGCUAGUUUAGCAGCCGGAUUCAAGCUGCUUUUUAAGUCGUGGGUUCAUAGACGUCGUACAUGGAACGAGAAAACGACUUCUGAUCAAUUCACUGCCGAAAAUGACAAACCGUUUGAUUUCGCUGAAAUGGACGGUUUACUCAACAACCUUGAAACAGAAAACCAAAAGUAAAGUCGUCGAAAAAAGCAUGGCUAAGCUGUGAUUUUGCCAUUGCAUGAAUCAAAAUGUAAACUUAAUAAACAAAAAUAAAUGUA